rnacentral:rRNA from 1 species
UGGUGGUUGGGUAAUUCAGUCCUCCCCCACGGGGGUUCUCGUGCACGGGCUGUUCUCUCCGGGAGAACACUUAGGAUAUUUGACAUUGCGAAUUCUGAUCAUACUUCGCGAAGAAGACAGCUGCGGGUCUAUAAGCUGUUUUAUGAGGAAGAAUAGCCGGUGAUUAUCUCUGUGAAGACGGAUACGUCAGGAUAAGCACGGCUAACUCCUUGCCAGCAGCGCGGUACUACGGAGGGUGCAGCGUAUCCGGAAUCACUGGGUUUAAAGGGUGACGUAGGCUGGCUAGAUAAGUCAGACGUGAAAGGUUGCAGCUGACUGUGAGACGGCUUUGAUACUGUUUAGCUUGAAUCAGAUAGAGGUUAGAGGAAUGCGGCAUGUAGCUGUGAAAUGCAUAGAUAUGCCCGUGGCAUACUGAUUGCGAAGGCAGCUCACUGGGUCUGUAUUGACGCUGAGGCACGAAAGCGUGGGGAGCGAACAGGAUUAGAUACCAUGGUAGUACACGCCUUCAAACGAUGUUAACUCGACGUUUGGUCUGUACGAUUGAGCGUCCAAGGGAAACCGAUAAGUUAACCACCUGGGGAGUACGUGCGCAAGCAUGAUACUCAAAGGAAUUGACGGGGGUCCGCACUAGCGGUGGAGCAUGUGGUUUAAUUCGAUGAUACGCGAGGAAGCUUACCUGGGCUCGAACGCUAUAGGACUACGCCCCGAAAGGGGGUAUUUCUUCGGAACUUAUAGUGAGGUGCUGCAUGGCUGUCGUCAGCUCGUGCCGUGAGGUGUUGGGUUAAGUCCCGCAACGAGCGCAACCCGCUAUUUUUAGUUGCCAUCUCUACUUCGGUAGAAGGGACUCUAAAGAGACUGCUUCGGUAACGGAGAGGAAGGUGGGGAAGACGUCAAGUCAUCAUGGCCUUUAUGCCCAGGGAUACACCCGUGCUACAAUGGUAGGUACAGAGGGCAGCGAUCACGCAAGUGCUAGCCAAUCUUAAAAAGCCUAUCUCAGUUCGGAUUGGAGUCUGCAACUCGAGUUCAGGAAGUAGGAAUCGAUAGUAAUCGCGCAUCAGCUAGGGCACGGCGAAUUCGUUCCCGGACCUCGUACACACCGCCCGUCAAGCCAUGGAAGCUGGGGGUGCCUGAAGAUGGUGACUUUACGGGGAGCUAUAUAAGGUAAAACUAGUAACUGGGGCUAAGUCGUAACAAGGUAACCAAGGGGAAUUCGCGGCCGCUAAAUUCAAUCGCCCUAAGGAGCAACGGAACAAAAAGAAAAGUCU